UUUAUUCGUGCUCAAGACAAGGCGCUGCUCUCCCAACUCCAGCAAUGCCAAGAGAACAUAGAAUGGCUGAAAAGUCAAAGGCAGCAGGCUGCCGAACAACACGAGCUUCAAAGUCUUACAGAUGACGAUUCGUACUGGGAAGAUUGGGAGAUUUCUGAAUUUGAACGGGAGGAGAAGCUGGGUUUGCAGUCAUUUAAUUCGAAACGGUUUGCAUACAGUAACCCUGAACUGAACCAGUCCUUGCUGGCCACCUACACAGCUAAAAACACCACUCUCAAGAAUGACAUUGAAAUCCAGCUACAACAACCACAGUAGCAGCAACAAGAACAAUACCAC
rnacentral:lncRNA from 1 species